rnacentral:siRNA from 1 species
UCCGCGUUUAAGGUCACUGUU